GACGAACGCUGGCGGCGUGCUUAACACAUGCAAGUCGAACGGAAAGGUCCUGUCUUUGUGGGGUGCUCGAGUGGCGAACGGGUGAGUAACACUUGAGUAACCUGUCCUUGACUUUGGGAUAACUUAAGGAAACUUGGGCUAAUACCGCAUAGGAGCUCCUGCUUCUUGGUGGGGGCGGGAUAGUUUCGGCGGUUGGGGAUGGACUCGCGGCUUAUCAGCUUGUUGGUGGGGUAGUGGCUGACCAAGACUUUGCCCGGUGGCCGGCCUGAGAGGGCGACCGGCCACAUUGGGACUGAGAUACGGCACAGACUACUACGGGAGGCAGCAGUGGGGAAUAUUGCACAAUGGGAGGGAGCCUGAUGCAGCAACGCCGCGUGCGGGAUGACGGCCUUCGGGUUGUAAACCGCUUUCGCCUGUGACGAAGCGUGAGUGACGGUAAUGGGUGAAGAAGCACCGGCUAACUACGUG
rnacentral:rRNA from 1 species